CCUACGGGGGGCAGCAGGCGCGAAACCUCCGCAAUGUGCGAAAUCGCGACGGGGGGAUCCCAAGUGCCCUUCUUAACGGGAUGGCUUUUCAUUCGUGUAAAGAGCUUUUGGAAUAAGAGCUGGGCAAGACCGGUGCCAGCCGCCGCGGUAACACCGGCAGCUCUAGUGGUAGCAGUUAUUAUUGGGCCUAAAGCGUCCGUAGCCGGUUUAAUAAGUCUCUGGUGAAAUCCUGUAGCUUAACUAUGGGAAUUGCUGGAGAUACUAUUAGACUUGAGAUCGGGAGAGGUUAGAGGUACUCCCAGGGUAGAGGUGAAAUUCUGUAAUCCUGGGAGGACCGCCUGUUGCGAAGGCGUCUAACUGGAACGAUUCUGACGGUGAGGGACGAAAGUUAGGGGCGCGAACCGGAUUAGAUACCCAGUAGUC
rnacentral:rRNA from 1 species